AUAGUACAGUUGCUUUUUGUUCUUUUGGCUGAAACUGAAGAGGACAUUGAAGAAAGAGAUAGAAAGGCCACAGAGUAGACCCCGAGAUGCUUGUGGGAGUCUGUGGUGGGUGGGCCUGUUGGAGCUGGUGAGGGGGCCUGUGGGCCACAGUGGGCUUUGAAAGACUUUUGCCGGAGUCAGGCCACUUUCCUGAGCGGCUGUUAUCAGGCUCUGCCACAGGAGCCCUUAGCGUGAAGGCUGCUUUGCCCAGGGCAGCCUGUCCCAGACCUGCCCUACUAAUGUUUGGCUUUGAGUGUCUCUGGUUCACGGCAAGUGAUUAGGUCGAAUAAACCUUAGGUCAAGGAGCUUAGUCACCUCUUUCCAGCCUAAAUGACAAGCACCCUGAAUUCCCAUGAGUUUUUGGUGCUUGACGGCAUCCUGGCAUAGACAUUGGUUUGCAAGCGUGUCUUAACAGCAAACUGACCUGCUGCGUCUGCCUCUUGGUGCAGCAUACAAGCAGCCAAUGGAAAAAUCGGCAACCUGCAUUCAAAGAUUUGGCCUUGGUCACAGUUAAAAAUUAACCGUGGUUUAAUUUUUGUACUGGGUUGUUCCCCCCCCAAUCCAAACUCAAUUUCCUGUUGCAGAAUAAAUUGAUUUCAUCGCGUCAUAUGGAAGACUUCUUUUCUUUAUCCCAAACCUGUGAUUUUAAUGUAGAACAUUGAAUGUAGGUCAGUAUUCACCUCUUUCUCAGAAAUCUGGGAAGACAAUUUUGGGGUUUUUUUUUCACCCCCAGUUUCUCUGAAUAAUACUCCCCAGGUUGUUAAGAGCAUUGAUAAAGUUCCCCAGCCUCGGAUCUAGAACUGGAAUGUUAAAGCCCUUCGCGCCUACGAAAGGAAUGAGGGCGUUUCCCGAGUUGGGCCAGAGAGGAAACCUCACUCACGGGAAGCUUCUGAGCGGACAAGCUGCUCGACCUCCGACCUCCUCCGGGAGACUCAGCCCGAGGUCCAGCGUCACCUUUGUUCUAAAUUCUCUGCUCUUCAUGAAUGGCGGAUAGUAUUUUAGAAGUCUAGCCAACUAGUGCUUUGAAACGGAGGGAGAGCUACACUGAAAAGACUUAAGGUAAUCUAAAUGGAUGUUCUAGUGAUGUCAGUAUUCAGAAGAGAGAUCCUAUUAGAGUGACUUUUCAGGAAAAAAAAAAAGUUCCGUAACCUGAGUCCCCCCCCCCCCCCCCCACCCCCCCCCCCCCCCCCCCCCUCCCGCCACCAUCCCCUCUCGCUUUUGCACUCCAGCAAGACGCAGCCUGUUGCUUCCCAAACCCGCAGAGCUGUUUCCUGUUCCUGGCCUUUGGGGAAGCCCCCCACCCUCCCAACUCUGCUGUCCACCUCCCCAGACACACCCUGCCCACAGCCCAGGGCAGCCUUCCGCGCCACAGAUACACUGGUGGUAAAGGAUGGAGUGUGUUUGGCUUGCAUCAGUUUGCCAGGAGCAAGGGAGGGUAGCUACAAAGCACUGCUCUAACCUGUUAUUUUCUGCACUAUUAAAAUGUAAAGCAGGCUGACAUAAGAAUCCACUCUUCUCCACCGGUCACCACCAUAAGAUUUAUGAAUCAUUUGCUAAAUCCACCGCCAGUUUUAAAAUCCGGCUCCCAGGCUAGGUCUGCAGGAAAUAAGCUUGUGAGAUCAUAAGUGCUAUGGAGUAUGAAGUUAUUUACUGGAUCCUGCAGUGUUAGCACUGGGAAUCCCAAGAAAGCUGCCUAAUAAGCUGGGUUGUACCCAUUUGGAACCUAGUGUCUCCAAAGGUGGGGGGGGGUGAACAUGUCAGAAACAUCGAAAAUGAGUUUAAAUUAAAGCCUGAAGUUUUUAAAUAUAAAGCAAAGUUUGAGUACAUUAGCUUUUAAGAUAGAGAUGCUGAAGAGAAACCCUAAUGAAAUACACUGUGGUGUUACUCUCAGGAAUUAAAAAUAACAACAGAGGACACAGCAUAUGGAAGUUCCCAGACUAGGGGUCAAAUCAGAGUUGUAGCUCACACCACACCGCAGCUCACAGCAACUCCGGAUCCUUAACCCACUGAGCGAGACCAGGGAUCACACCCACAUCCUCAUGGAUCCAGGUUGGGUUCAUUACCACUGAGCCACCAUGAGAACUCACUAAAUGGAAGUGGUUUUAAAACGAGUGAUCUGCCUGCCCUCCUGUGGGUACAGCAAGGCAGCAGCCAUAAAACGAAAACCCUGGUCAGUUCCCAGAGUGAAACCUGCAGUCUUAGCCACCUAAGUCCUGGGGCAGGUGGUCCCCUGAGCAAGAUGCUGUUUCCCUAGGGGUGGGGGUGGGGGGCUUUUUCUGACGUUAAAGCUCCUCUAGUCUGGGACUCCCAGGUGGGCAGCCUGGUGGCCUCCUGCUCGGCCAGCCCCUCUCCUGAGCCCUGUGGGGGGAAGCCCCCUCCUCCCCGCCGAGGGGCUGCCCCCACCAGGGUCACCUUCUCUGCCUGCUCUUUGAAUCACCUCUCCCCCAUUUUUGAAGUGAUCUUUGAACUUGGGGGCUUGGGGCAGGAGGAAGAGAGCACCAGAAGUGUUGUGUAAACACUGGUUCUGAUCCUUCUCAACUUUUACUACCUGUAAGGACAGGUGGACGUGGAGAAGCUGCUGGCAGGAAGGGCCAAUUGUUCUCAAGGUUAUGGGUUAUGCAAUCGAGCAGAAGAGCUUUGAAGCUGCAGGAGGAGGUCAGAGCAGCUUGUCCACAAAGCAUAUGACGCAGAAGUUUCCCUUUAGAAGAACUUACUUGCUUGACUCUCGUUAGGAAUUCCUGUGCCAGCAUUUAGCUGGAUCUCUGGGGUGAGUCGUUAUCUCCGGUCUGCAGUUAAAGUAAGGAAUUUCUUUUAAAGGACCCUACUUCCGGAGUUUUCCUGAGAUGCCAGGCUGAAGCGGGUACCUUCAGCACCUAUUUUUGUAUAGAAUGUCGUUUCAUCCGAGUCUGUAACCUUGUGCUCGUGUCCGUGGGAAAGAAAAAAAAUAGUGAGACCCUUCUUUAUCCAGUUACGAGGCGGAGGUAGACGGUGAUGUCAUAGGUUGUGUGGACCCGGCUGUGCUGAGCUUGCGUCUGGGACAGUGACCAGACAGACCAGAGGAGAAGUGGAAGGUAUUUUUAGCCCCUGGGGGCUGCUCUGGACGCCGCUUCUCCGGGCGCCCCAGUACCUCCCGCGGGGAGAUGCGGCGCAGGCGCACUGGCUCUCAUGCCUUCCGCCUCUGAAUCAUACCGUAGAAUAUUCGGGAGCCCUGGUGGGCUGCCGACUUGAUGGCGCAGCUUUGAGAGCCACACACUUCAGCCCAAAUCUGAGACGUUGCUGGAGGGCCUCUCAGCGGGCCCUGGGUCCCUCGCAGGGACCGGACCAGUCCUCUUCUUCCGAAGUGUGGUUUUCUCUGGAAAUCCGGGCCUGGGUACGCAGUUCACUCCUUUUUUUUUUUUUUUUUUUCCUGCGUUGAGCUGCUCCAGGCAUGCGUGGAAGUUCUGCUGCUGAGAACAGCAUGACCUCUGCAAGUAGGUUCUUAAAAUCUUUGGAGAGCCGGUUUGAACCGCGAGCAGUAAGUCAGCUGAAAACUUCUGUCAGGUUAUGUACAUCAAGUGCAGCUUUAGAAAAGUGAUAAAAGGAAGGGAUCCUGUCUGGGGUACGCAGGCUGUCCCUAGAAUCACUUUUGCAGGCUGAAGGGCUUCUGGAUGUGAUGUGGAGGGUGUAGGUCAGUUUCCGAAUAAGUCGGCUUCUGCUUGGCUGGUCAGGGUUUUGACUGCGGGCCAGUCCGUCUCUCUGGCCGUGGGAGUGAGCGGUGCCAGUAGGAGUGUGGAAGACACCACGUGCUGUGUGGAAGAAGCUCUGGAUGAGAUUAGGAGGCCGGAUCCUUGUCUCUCUCCUCCAGCUGCCUCCCCCGACCCCAGUAUGUCCCAGCCUCGAGCUCGAGUGACCCUGGCGGGUUCCUGGGCCUCUCUCUACCCCCGUUGAUAAGUUGAGGCCGUGUAUGGCCUACAGGCCCCGAGUCAGGCUGCCUGGGUCUGCAUCCAGGCUCUGCCCCUUGCUGGCUCUGUGACUCAGGGCACAUGAGCAUUUCUCAGUGUCUUGGUGCCUGUUUCCCCAUCACUAAUGGGAAUAGUACCCACUUCACAGGCUGCUGUGAGGCCCAAUUGGGUUAAAGUGUGUGGCCUGCCUGCAAGGCGGUUGGCCUUUCUUGGGAUGGCUCACAAAUGCCUCUUCCAGUGAGGGAGUCUGUUACUUUCUUCUACCUCUUCAGGCAAAUGGACCACCCGAGAGGUCCCUAGAGGAGGCAAAGCAGGUGAUGACCAGGGAAGCCAGAGGGGCCCUGGGGUGGGUCACGGUGCCCGCCCUGUGCUCUGCCUCCCUCCCUGGUCUCCCCAAGAAAAGCUCAGCCCGGCAGAGCACAGGCCCCAGCAGCUCCCGCUGUUAACUGUGCAGGGAAGACAGAUCCUCAGGUGAGCAGCGUCGCUGCCCUGGGGUGCUGCCCCCAGGCCCACGGAUGCCCAGGCAGCCUGUGCCAGUUUUCUCAGUUUUCAAGUGUCGUGGUCAGACUGGGUCAUGGGGGCCAAGCUCUUUACUAGCUGGUUCCCCUGAUGAAAACUCUUUCAUUGAAACGCUUCAUUCCCGAUCUACAUUGUUUCCAAUCCCCAUGCUCUUCUCUGAGGGCUCAGCUGGCUGCCCUUCAAAGAGCCCAGUGAGAGACAAGUGUAGUAGUUUCAUGCAGCUUCCCACCUCCCUCUCCAACCGCCUGGUACUCCGUGGUUUCUGCAGAGGUUCUCAGUAGGAGAAAAGUUAUGUUUAUGGGGCACAUUCAGAGAGCUUGUGCCUCCAUUCCAGAAUUUGUUUGGAGGCUCUGCCCCACGUGGUGGAGAAUCUUGUUAAGUUCGGGUGGUUCCCUACAGUUUCCACUAGAAAUUACGUCUUUAAAGACUGCUCUGGGCAGGAGAGUCUGGAACUCCCUGCUAGAGACCUUGGGGACUGGCAAGGGACAUCUACGAAUCCGAAGAGGGGCUAAGUUAGGUGAGCAAUCUGAGAACAGAGGCCAGGCUUUAUUGCCUUGUAAAUCACAAACCUGAAGUUUUGUCAGAUCUUUGGGUAAGGGGAGAGCCACCCUGAAUAGAUAACCCUGUCCUAAAUUGCCUUUGCAAGGACCUAAAAUAUGAGACUAUUGAAUGUUCUUCAUUAUACGUAAUUGUUAGUCCAGGAGUUCCCAUUGUGGCUCAGUGGUAAUGAAACCCACUAGUAUCCAUGAGGACGAGGGUUCCAUCUCAGGCCUCACUCAGUGGGUUAAGGGUCCAGUGUUGCUUUGAGCUGUGGUGUAGACCAGCAGCUGUGGCUCUGAUUCAAUCCCUAGGCUGAGAACUUCCUCAGAACUUGAGAACUGUGCCACAGGUGCAGCCCCUG
rnacentral:lncRNA from 1 species